CGUCGACCUCCCCUUCUUCUUCCUACUUCUCUGGCGACGUGGCCUCCCCUUUUGAUGACGUGGGCUCCUCUUCCCGGCCGAUGCCCCGGAGUUGGCGGCGGUCGUGCCUUCCCCUUCGUCCCGGCCGGCGUUUGUGUCGGUUGAGGCACUUACGUCGUCUCCCCUCCAUCGUGGCAGACCAGGCCCAGCAGCGGCGGCUUCCUUCGCGCAGGUCGUCGGGCUCUCAGCGCCUCUUCUCCAGCAGCCUCAUCCCGACCGCGGCGGCCAUGGCAUGUUCGCUCUCCAGGGCGGCACCGCCCGACUUCCGGAGGCCAUCUCGCACACCAUCGUACCUGUGGCCGUCAUGAGAUUGACGAGAAACAACGGGCACACACAUGGGUCCAUCUAGAAUGCCUUGUGCAAUCACCAGGACGCAUCUCUGCCGGUACCGAGCGAAGCCAUACCACCACGUCUGGACCUUACUCCCCUGCAGCGGCGCCGGGAGGAGACGAAGUCCUCCGCCUACCGCGACCCAAUCCGCGUGCAGGUCAGUUUUCUCUGGCCAUCACAUGGCCGGUGUGUCCCGACCUCAUUCCCCAUGCCGUGCAGUUCGCAAAGGAUUGUGUGAAAGGUUUCGUAUAUAUGCCUCUGUUGUGUUUCUCUAAUUUCUUUACAGAAACCAUGUCGCUGCACUUUUUUUCAGGUUCUGUUUUUCCCCAAAUUGAUGUGCUUCUAGGUUAUUAGACCGAUGGAAGGAAAAAAAAAUAGAUUUCAUUAUGCGUGAUUGCUGCAGCAGCCGUGUCAGUAUACAAAUCUAGCAAUUGUUUUCAUUGAUGGAUGCAUGUAAUGAUUCUUUCAGUUAUGCAAUUUAUCGACAGUCAUGUGUGAAUCCCGUAAUUCCCGUGUGGCAAAUAGUUCAUGGUAUUUUUCAGUUACUUCCGAACAUCCUCUAUAUUUUGCUUACCAUGCCAUGCUCUAUGUUUCCAUUUUCCGAGAACAUGACAUGUCAAAAUGACCAGAAUGCCUUCAAACUGAUUUCCAUUAAGUAGUCAAAAUCUUCUUGCUUCAUUCUUCCCAAGGAAGCUAGAUAGAAAGCUCCACCUAUUAUUUAUUUUCUGGCGUAUUUAUUCUCCGAGAAAAGAAAAGCAUACAUGCUCAAUCACAUCCAGAGUUGCAAUAAUAUGUCAGUGCAUUAUUUUUUGCUUGCAAGUGACAUUAUUUCAGUGCCAACCUUGAUCCAUUUACUACUGAACAUUGUUGUUAACUAGCCAAUCCGUAAGUACUACAGGUAUUCUCUCCCUUUGUUUGGGGGUAUAUUUGCAUGUUUUGAUCAGUUACAUAGGAGACUGUUGGUUCUCUUUGUGGUUGCAUUUCUCCUCAGUUUCAAUUACUGGAUUGCACAACAAUGGCUGCUAUAUAUCUAUGGAUUUUUUUUGAUGCGUUAGUGCACAACUGUGUUCCUCUUUAUCCCUUCCUAUUAUUUACUGGCAAUUUUCACAAAGCAACUGAGGAUAUCAUAAUUGGCAAUUCACAAUAGAGAGAAACUAUAAAUUAUUAAAUGUUAUUGAAAAGAAAAUUCGCAAGAGAUCGAUCUACAUUAUCAGGUCCCUUUUAUUACUUCAAUAGGCAAGUGAAAAUUGCUUCGCAAGUUUGUAAACAGUGAAGCUAUAAAAACAGUAAUACUACCGCAGCAUUUUUACCAUUGUUGCAUCGAUAAGCAGGAAUGUCCAUAUCAUUUACUUUGUUUUCCUUAUCAGUUAUCAGUUGCAUGGAUAAGCAGGAGAUAUGUCCUGAAGUUAAAAUCCUCAGGUUCGAGCUCAUAUUAGCAACUGAUCUUCUCUCUCUCAUUUUCAAAUGAUUAUUAUCAAGGUUUGUACUCUCAUCUGGCUGAACAAAUUGAAGUUGGAGCCUUAAGCAAGCUUCAGUGCAGUUUUCCAACGAUGACCACUUGUGAGUCACUGUGAUGAAUUACCAGCCAAUAUAUCCCAUUGGGUAUUCCAUUAGAGAAGAACGAGGCAGCAGCACAAGGCAGAAAGGGAGACGUCACCAGCUGCUGCUAGAGACUCGGGUGCCCUCCCACGAUCCUGCAGCAGCUGAAGGCAGGGACGUGACCACGCCACCAGUUUCUUCGUCAUCGAGAAGCUGAAGCACCAGAUCCGCUGCUGCGAGCCUGUAGACGGCGAUGCGACUUCUUCGACGAGCAGCUGGAGCCUCAAAUCCACUCCGACCAUCUUGCGGCAGCGUAAGAAGGAAACAGUAGGAAUGUCGCUGAUUUCUUCAUUCUGAUCCACAAGCACUUCUGCUCCGGUGCUCCACCCUUGGCAAAAUUCUAGCCACGAUAAAAACAAGAACAGUGAAGAUCAAAUUCGGUUAGGGGGAAGCACUCAGCAGGGCUCAUGGGCAAGAGGCCCAAGCACUAGGUUCUUGUGCCGAGCCCGCAAGUUUGACCUUUAAUCUCAACCUCCCAGCGGAGGCCCCUGCACCAGGCAAGAACACCAUCUUCGAUAGCAAGCCAAGGCUCCAGCUCCGGCCCCUUCGCUGGCUUUCCCCACGAUGAACAUGUACCGGCCCGGGCAGACCAGUAGAAAGAUGUGUCGAUGCCGGUUGACCUCCAAUGUGUUAUGUUGUAAAUAUGUAGCCCUACAGCAUCAUCUAUUGCCCCUCAUAUUAAGACUUAAGUUAAUUUCUAACAAGCAUCUAAAUCGA